GGCAAUAUGGUCAAGUGGUUAGAUGCGCCUGCAACCUUGCAAGGUCGUGGGUUCGAGCCCCACUGGUGCGC